ensembl:lncRNA
UUUUUUUUUUUUUUUUAAUUGCUAAUGGUAGCCUCUGAUGGCUUCAAGACAUGACAUGCAGCCUUCCAGUUCAGUACAGGGUGUGUUUUGGGAAAAGGAGAGGACUUGCAAAGAGCCCUUGAUCUGAUCAGGAAGGCAUCAAGCUGCACACGUGCAGGCCCUAUGUUGUGAGCUGGAACUCACCUCCUUUUCAGCAAUUUUCUGGAGGUGAAAUGAAGGGUAGUCAGUGGUUGUGGCAUGAUGCUGGGCUUUGGAAGUCUUUUGUUUGGCUGUUUUGCCACAGGUGACUCAGAUCUGCCUCACUUGAUCUUUUCGCUGGCGUUGUAACAGGAAUGCUCCUGUGUUUUUCUGCACCAGGUUGCUACACACAUCGGUAUGUUACCACUGGUUUCCUGUUUAGAUACUGCAGACAUUAGGACUGCAGAGCUACUUUAACUGUAUCCUAAAAGUCUUUAUGAAGCAUUGAUUGGGCAAGAAAUGAGAAGCAGCAGGAAGCCACAGCUUUCUGACUUAGGAACUUGCAAGUCUUUCAUACAGCUCAUCUUGAGCUUUGCUGACAUGAUCUCACUUGCUAAUGUUUUUUUGCAGAGCAUCCUAUGUAAUGACAUAAUUAGUGUAAAUUGCAUUUUAUUUUUAAAUCAUCCCCUUUCCUUCCUGAUUUUUUCAUAUCUAAAUGUCAACUUUUAUGGUAAAGAGUGGUGUGCUGCAGAGGCUGAGCAGAAAAACACUUGUGCAGGUGGAAAUCUGCUGGUGGAGCUUCUGAGACGAUGUUGAACAGGAGCUCAGCUGGUUGAGGUCAAUGUUUUCUUAAGGCAUAGCAGGUUGUGCUUGAUUUUGUUUUCUUCUUGCAGCUCAAGUUCUCCUGCCAUAUCAGGUAUUAAAGGCCUUAAAUUAUGAGUAGUACUGGUGAAUUGUAAAUACAUAUCCAGAUUUUACAGAUCAAAGGUAAAUGAUAAUGUUACUGCACCAAACCAGUUCAAACAUGGUACAGUAAAAAUCCCACUCCCUUAAUAUGUUGGGAAUUACUUUCCACACAUUACUUACUUUUCUCUGGAAGAUUAAAUUCAAAGAAAGUUCUAAUACACUUUCCAUUUUGCUUUUUCUUGUCAUUAUGGUAAGAUUUUUAGGAGCAGGCAUAGCUUCCUUAUUGAAUAUAUAUGCAAAUCUGACACCAGAAUUUGGUUCUUCAAAACAAUAUAUUAAAAACAAAAAAACAAAACAGGAGAGUUAUUUAAUUGAUUAGGAAUUUUGGAAUUGGUACAUAUCCCUGUUUUUCAAAGCAAAGAAGAUUCAGGUAAGUUCAGAAAUCAAAAUAUUUACCUAAAAGUUGUGUAACUGCAGUAAUAAACUAUUGAUACUAUCAGUUAUAACAGAAUCUCAUUAUAGUCUUGAAGAUCCAUGAGCUGAAUAUUGUAGUCUUGAACAUCCACCUUCAUUGCAGGCUAGGACUAUCACUGUUAUAAUUUUAUGCAUUAGAAAACUGAGGCAUAUAUAAGAAGUGGAACUUUGCUAAAAGUCAGAGACUUCUGCAACUCACUCACACUUUUUCUCCCUCUUGUUCAUCUGAGUUGUUUAAAGUUUGCUCCUUAAUUUUCUUCUCAAUAUUCAUCAGGAUAUAAUGAAAGCCUGUUCCCAAAGCUAAAGGAAGUUGAGAAGACAAUGAAGGACUUGGAAAGAUGAAGACUCCAGAAACUGGAUUCUGGGCAUGUACUGCCAGGACGGAGGAUUUUUAUUUAAUUUUAUAGAAAAAUGUUCUGGUUAUUUUACACUGAGAUGCAAAAUCUCAUUUUCAGCCAAGCCCCGGAGGGAGUAAAAGGAACUUGGAGAGCUCAUAAAGACAAGUGUAAUAGGAUUAAUAAGAAAAAGGCCUAAGACAUAAGCCUUCAUUGUACACAUUUCUUGCUAAAUUUUAGUAUUGAUGAAGGUGAAAUGCCAAAACGUAACCAUGUGCUCAUGUCCUUUAGGCAGUAACAGAAUAUCAGCAUUCAUGUGUGCUGCUCCUGCCACCACUUUAAGAGCAAAGACGUGGGGAUGCUGCCUUUUGAGGUGGACAGUGAAGGGAAAGGGGCAGGAAAGCUGGUCAUGAAUGGAGGCAGCUCUUCUAGCAGGAUAAAUAUUUACCUGGUAUUGAAUGUGCAUGUGGGAUGGAGAGUGUUCAAGGAAGGGUGGGAAACCCUUUCACAAAUGAAAGGGAACGGUUGAAUGCCCAGAGAAUGGAGCAAAGGUUAAUUUCCAUCACCACUGAUGAGAUCCAGAGAGACACAGAGGCAGAUCAAAGACAAGGAAUGGGUCCUAAAGGGGGUAAGUAUAGUGUCCCGUGGUGCCUUCAGUGCAUCAGUUAUCUCAGCAUCUCCAAGGUAGCUAAGGAAUCUUUUCUGACUGCCACCCAGCAGACCUCUGUGGCUGCACAGGGUACCCAAGUCCUAUAGCAACCUGUCCUUUGCUCACCCAGACUUUUACCAGAAGAAAAUGGAAAGAGAGAUGGGGCCAGGCCCAUCACAUUUUCUUGUCUGUUUGUUUUGCCCAUCUGUCUGUCUGCUACUGCCAGUGCCCAUGUUGUGGGAGAAGGAUGAUUGCAUCAUUUCCAUAUAGCUUGCUGUUCCAACCCCCUGAUUUAAGGUGAAAUUUGGUUGUGCUGCUGGGUGUUCGGAUGUUUGCCAGGUAGGUGCUACCAAGAACAUUUAUUAAAAUAGACAGAUGGGCACUGAGGUAGGAAGCAGCCAUUAGAAUGCUUGAAAUCAACCAACUGUGAAAUAGAAAAAUCAGAAAAAAAAGUAUUCUUGGAGCCUUUAAUACUAGGCUUCCCUUUUGGGGCUGUCCUUCUUACUUUUUUUACAUGUACACACCCACAAAGAGAGAGCUAUUUAUGAAAAUACCACAGCCUGGUUUUUGUCUUUUUAGGCAUUUCUGUUUAGCCAGAAUUUGGAGGGAAUCUGAGGAUGGCUCCCUGAGCCAAAACUGGUGCACGCAAAAUCCAAAUGCAGCUUUGCUUGGAAAACUCAGGUUCCUCAGACAGCUGGGGCAUCUCAAGCUCAGGCAGGGUCUGCCCUGUCCCUGCUUGAGUGCAGUAGGAGGAACACAGCCACUGACUGCUGGUAGGUAGGAGGUGAGAUUCCUAAUCACUUGUCUAGAUGCAUUUGCAACUUCUUCUGAUUCCUUAACAGCUCUUUCUGUCUGCUCAAGUUCCUUUGGCAUUGUGAUCACUCUCCAUUAGCUCUCCCUAGUAGUAGCAUGAGAUGCCAGGAUAGAUACUGUCAAAAUCAAACAUCUUUGUUUGUUCCUUUUCUUUCUUCCCUAACGUAGCACUGGAAAAAAAACCAAGAUAUGUACAUUUGUCUUUCCAUAGCUUUGUCUAGAAGGGGGAGUCCAUGGCUAUUAAAACCAGAAUGUGUCAGUCAGACAUAUCAUAUUAUUGGGGAGAUCACUACUCUUAGGUAUGAAAAGCAUUGUCAAAUUAGUCACUGUCUGGAGAUAAACUGCUGUGGUGUCAGUAUUAGCAGCUUAUUUGGAGUUUAGUGUUUAAUUCUCAGGGGAUGAAGGGCAGUCCCCAGCACUGCAACUUUCUUGCAGCUGUGAUCUUGGCUGAGUCACUUGCUGGCAUCUGUUUCAGGACCAGCCUGCAAGAACUGUGAAUUUUCUUUGAGCUUUUAUGAUUCUAAAGUUGACCUUGGUCUUACAGUAUUGCUGCUUAUCUGUCACUAACCUGAAGGGAGUAAGGACAGCUUCAAUGGGUGCUCAGGUAUGACAGCAAUGACUGGGGUAGAAUAUUUAUCUGCUAGUUAGAUGCAUAGUAAGAGCUUGUUUGUAAUAGGAACAGACCAAGUUCAGAAGUUCUUUCUUAGUGCCUGUUCUUCAUCAUGCUGAUGACACUAUCCCAGAGAAAAACUUAAAGUAGGAUAUGAGAUUUAUACUGAGGCAGUGAAGACUGGCUCUCCACUGUUUUCCCCAGUGGGUCUGUACAAAGCCAGAUCCUUGUAUCACUUCAAGGGCCUGAUGUUAUAGACAGAGAUUUUUUCAUUUCUUUGUGCUUUACCUCAGCUUUGGGCACAGGGAAAUGACAGUUCUGGUCUCCAGAUGGUAUCAACUGGUGUAACCAUCUGGGAGUAGGGCUUGUGAAUGCAGGAUAAGACAUUCAAAGUAUGUUUUUUUCCUGUUUCUUUUUUCUGUUUACUGUGAAGCUCUUUGAGAUCUUCUAAAGGAAGGUGCUAUAAAAUACAAACCAUUAGUCAAGAGUAUCUAAGUGCACAUUUUUGUCCUGUUUCUCUUAGUACUGCAUAACAUUCCUUUCCAUUGGCUGAUUUAUAACCCCUAGAUCUGCAAGGUCAUUUCCAUGUGAUUCUGCAGUGUUGCACUUUUAAAUGAUGCUAAAAGCUCCCCUUUUUUAUCAGGAUAAAAUUAAUACAAAUCAAGCAGACCUUGACCAAAGGAGUAGCCCAAUAAAACUGUAAGUUGCCUAUACUAGGCCAGUAACUAGGAAUCAAUUUGCAAAGGUCAGUGGUGCUUUCAGAUCCCUUUUUUGGCCUCAUCAGCACUGUAUACAGCUACAAGGUCUGCAAGGGUCAGAAAGCACAUUUACCUCUCAAACACAGCAAAACCUCUGUUUCCCUCACUUUCCAAGCACCUAUACCCAUGGGUUCAGGUGAGCCAAGAGGGUUCUUUUAGCCAAAGGCAUUGUACCUCACAGUACAGUUAUUGAUGGGGAGACAUUCAGUGAACUUCUUCCCUCCAAAUAGAGAAGGCACUUGCUUGCAACUUCACCUGAGGCUGGCAAGAGUCCUUCCGUUUAUUUGAGGUCCCAUCUGCAGCAUCCUGUGAUUUUCCAGCUAUGAUUGUUGCUGCCUCUAGAAUCACAGGAAUCAAAAGCAAGACAUGUCUUUGGUGAUUAGAUGUGCUCCAUUGACUAGAUCUGGGUUUGAGAGAAGCAUGUUCAGGUCUUGAGCAGUGUUUCAUGAGGAAAUAGUGCUUGUCUUUUCCAUUGCUCCUGCCUCACACAGUGAACCCAGAAUGUAAGGCCAAGGACACAACUUCUGCAGCUCCCUCAAUUGUGAGUCAUAUUUUUCUGGCCAAUGUGUUUCUAUGUUUCUGUUGUCUCCCAAGGUGACAAGUACAAAAGAAAAGGAACAGUAGUGGGGGGAAAAGGCUUUUUGUCUUUUUAAUCUCACCAUGAUACAGAAUUAAUCAAGCGUCAUAGAAGUAUCACAGGAAACUGUUAGGCAAGUGGACUUGUCUGAAGCUGGAAGGAAUGUGGGACAAGCAACCUACUGACUACAGUAUGAUGCAAUCUUCUAGAAAUAAGAUUCAGACCAAAGUGUGGCUGGUGAAAACUUCCAGAGUCCUGACUGGAGCCUGGGACCACACACCCACACUACUCUGCGUGAAGGCCGUCUCUAGCUCCCCUAGACUGAGAUGGAAGCAUUUAAAAUGAAAACAAAUCCAUAAAAGACUGCUGUUCAGCUGUUUGAGAGAUGUCAAUGAUGCCAUCAUUCUUCUUUGAGGUGGACUUGCAGGCAAAGUCACCCUCUCCCCAUUAAGAACCCUCACUCUCUACACUGCUUUGAUACUUUCACACUGGCUUUGUCUUUCAGUGUCCCUCCCUUCUUUGUGUGUGCCUCCUAUGACGAGGCAGGCACCAUUAUGCAGUAGGAUAGAAAGCAGUCCUGGAGUUUGCAGACUGGACCUUUUUUUUCCCCUGGAGAAUGAUGGUGAAGGAAAAUUGCUUCUGCUGGGCUUCAUUUUGCAGUAACUGGUGUUUGGCCAUCAGCCUUGACCUCCAGCCAGCUUUACACCUGCCAAAGAUCAGUCCCCUCACCUGUGUCUACACAUGUAUGUCACUCCAUGCUGGUUCCUUUCCUGCUUUUUCCUUUGGUCCCGUGGGAGACAAAGGGAACAGGUCAGUUAGAUCUGGUCUUGCAAAUUUUCAUGUGUUUGCAUUUUUACCUGCCUUCCCACUGUCCCUAAUUGCCCUUGCUCCAACCUUCUGUGCUGCCUUUUCUCACUUUGCUGCUUCCUUCCCAUUGCUUUUCCUCUUCUGUGCUUUCAUACACGGCCCCACAUGGAGUCCUCUCCUUUUUGCCAUGCAGCCCCUUCUCACUGGCAUGUAGUGAAGUCACAAUUGCCUCCAGUUAGUCAAUUAAGCGAUCAAGUUUUAUGGCUGUGCUAGGUUGUUGGGGUUUCUUUUUCCUACUUAGUAUUAUUUUUCCAGCUCCAUCUUGGCACCUACAUUUAUUUGAAACAAAUUGCAGGAUAAUCUGUUUUUCAAAUUCUCAAGAAGCGAAUUCCUGGUUCCAGGGGGUUGGUGUUUUGGGCACCUGGUGCCAGGGAUCUGGGACUGCACACAGAGAUUUCUGCUAUGUGAGGAAAUACUUCAUUAGACUUGUAUUCCACGAAGACACUCUUGCUUCUUAACACCUAUGAUUUUAAUUAAAACCUGGAAA